rnacentral:tRNA from 1 species
ACUUAUGAAUAAAUAUUUGAUUUGAAAUCAAAUUAAUUGCUUUCAUUAGCAACAUAGGUU